UGCAGAGGCACCACGAGGAGCACGUCGAGACACUGGAGAGGCAGCGCUGACAACAGGUUGACUGUGUGACUGAGAGACGAUUACAGCAAAAGAAAAUCGAUAAAAGAGAGAAUAUUGGAUUACUACAUACACCGCCUCCCUUUGGGUCGUGCUCACCCUUGCAGCUCGUCAGUGUCCUCUGACAGAGUACACUUCCUCAUCAGGCAGACACGCAGCAGUGCCACCAGGUGUCGGUAAAGAGCAGCAUCAUCCUGAGGGAGGCUGACAGGUUAAUCAUGGGUCAUGGUCACCAACCUCACUUGGCUCCUGCCUGUGGGUGCUGUAGGUGACGUUGAAGAGGAUUUUGAGGAUCUCUAUGACACGCUGAGAGGCUUCCAGUGAGAUGG